UACGAAGGGGGCUAGCGUUGUUCGGAAUUACUGGGCGUAAAGCGUGCGCAGGCGGCUUCUCAAGUCAGGGGUGAAAGCCCAGAGCUCAACUCUGGAAUUGCCUUUGAGACUGAGUGGCUUGAGUACGAGAGAGGUGAGUGGAAUUCCCAGUGUAGAGGUGAAAUUCGUAGAUAUCGGGAGGAACACCAGUGGCGAAGGCGGCGACCUGGGCCAAUAUUGACGCUGAGGUGCGAAAGCGUGGGGAGCAAACAGG
rnacentral:rRNA from 1 species